CCAACCCAAUUGAGCCUAAUCUCAAUCAGCCUAAUUCAUUUAUUAAUCACUUAGAUAUUUCCUUAAUUUUGAUUAAGAAAUUGUGGAUAGGAUGGAUCCACGUAACCUCUUUAGUCACCUUUCUUCUUUAAGAAGCCCCAUUCACCAAAAGUUUCAUCCAAGCGCAGCAACUUCUCCCUAGCAAUUGGUAUAUACUCUAUCUUUCAAUUAAUUUCUGCACACCCAUUGUCUCUGCAAAAUUUCUUGCGCAGAAAUCAACCUAUAUUCUCUGCAAACUCUCUGUGCAGCAACUCAUACUUAGAGAGGGAGGCCACGGCGCGGCGGCUCCGCCCGCUGUUGCCGGGUCAAGGACGGAGAGGGAGAGAUGAGGCGGUGGAGCAGGGGCUAGGGCGCGGGGGAUGUCUGGCCGAGUGCAGGAGAGAGAUGCGGCACUGUCGUCUAAAAUUUGGGCGGUGGUGACGUCCUUAAGCCGGAAAGAGAGAUGGGGCCCUGGGUGGCGGUGGCUGGCCUCACCAGCCACUACGGUUGCCGGAGUCGAGAGAGGGGAAGGAGGGCUGUUAGAGAGUUGGGGCAAGGGGUUUUCAGAGGAAGAAAGGGGUGGCGGUGGUUCUCCAGCCAUCAAGGGAGCUGAGAACGCGGCGGCGGCCAUGGUGGUGAUGGCUGUCACCGGAAAUUUUGUGGGAGAAAGCCGCGGCGUUUUUUAUUGUGUGAGUGUGUACCGCCGUGAGGGAGAAAGAGAGAGACAUGGGAGGGGUUGAGAAGCAAGAGGGCGACGGCGGUCAGGCGGCGGAGGCGACGCUACCGCCGCCGGAGAAGAAGAGAGGGGGGUGGGAGAGGGUGCCUGCUGCGGCGCAGCUGUGUGUGCGCGUGUGUUUGUGUGUGUUUAAAGAGAUGAAGAAAGACUUUGGGCUUUAGGUUUGUUCUGCACUCCCAAGCACAAGCGUAAUUAAUUAUCAGUGUGAUCAAUUAACUGUGAACGUAGGAAAGGUUUUUCGAACUACGUUACAAAUCUCUAUGUCAUUUAUAGCUUUCAGUAUUUCAUAUUCUAUCUGUACACAAAGCUUAUGUAUUGAAACUAUUAACUUGAAAAGAGAAACAUUAAAAUUGACAAUC